rnacentral:rRNA from 1 species
AGUGAACGCUGGCGGCAGGCCUAACACAUGCAAGUCGAACGGCAGCACAAGAGAGCUUGCUCUCUGGGUGGCGAGUGGCGGACGGGUGAGGAAUGCAUCGGAAUCUGCCCAUUUGUGGGGGAUAACCUCGGGAAACCGGGACUAAUACCGCAUACGACCUACGGGUGAAAGCAGGGGAUCUUCGGACCUUGCGCAGAUGGAUGAGCCGAUGCCGGAUUAGCUAGUUGGAGGGGUAAAGGCCCACCAAGGCGACGAUCCGUAGCUGGUCUGAGAGGAUGAUCAGCCACACUGGGACUGAUACACGGCCCAGACUCCUACGGGAGGCAGCAGUGGGGAAUAUUGGACAAUGGGCGCAAGCCUGAUCCAGCCAUGCCGCGUGUGUGAAGAAGGCCUUCGGGUUGUAAAGCACUUUUGUUGGGAAAGAAAAGCAGCCGGUUAAUACCCGGUUGUCAUGACGGUACCCAAAGAAUAAGCACCGGCUAACUUCGUG